UUUUAUGAAUGAGCAAAUAAGGUGAUUUCUUGAAAUGGACUCUACUCUUGGUAAAGAUGUUGUGAA
rnacentral:pre_miRNA from 1 species